ensembl:rRNA 5S_rRNA 5S ribosomal RNA
UCUACGGCCAUAGCACCCUGAACGCGCCCGAUGGCGUCUGAUCUUGGGAGCUAAGCAGGGUCGGGUCUGGUUAGUACUUGGAUGGGAGAGAGGUGGAAACUAAGGCUCAGAAAGGU